rnacentral:rRNA from 1 species
GACAGAGGUGCCAAGCGUUAGGCGGAAUCACUGGGCUUAAAGCGUGUGUAGGCGGAAUGGUAAGUACCUUGUGAAAUCCCACGGCUCAACCGUGGAACUGCUUGGUAUACUGCUUUUCUUGAGCCACUUAGGGGCAACCGGAACAAACGGUGGAGCGGUGAAAUGCGUAGAUAUCGUUUGGAACGCCAAUGGUGAAAACAGGUUGCUGGGAGUGUGCUGACGCUGAGACACGAAAGCCAGGGGAGCAA